GAUGAACGCUGGCGGCGUGCCUAAUACAUGCCAGUCGAGCGAACGGACGAGAAGCUUGCUUCUCUGAUGUUAGCGGCGGACGGGUGAGUAACACGUGGAUAACCUACCUAUAAGACUGGGAUAACUUCGGGAAACCGGAGCUAAUACCGGAUGAUAUUUUGAACCGCAUGGUUCAAAAGUGAAAGACGGUCUUGCUGUCACUUAUAGAUGGAUCCGCGCUGCAUUAGCUAGUUGGUAAGGUAACGGCUUACCAAGGCAACGAUGCAUAGCCGACCUGAGAGGGUGAUCGGCCACACUGGAACUGAGACACGGUCCAGACCCCUACGGGAGGCAGCAGUAGGGAAUCUUCCGCAAUGGGCGAAAGCCUGACGGAGCAACGCCGCGUGAGUGAUGAAGGUCUUCGGAUCGUAAAACUCUGUUAUUAGGGAAGAACAUAUGUGUAAGUAACUGUGCACAUCUUGACGGUACCUAAUCAGAAAGCCACGGCUAACUACGUG
rnacentral:rRNA from 1 species